rnacentral:rRNA from 1 species
CGGACGGGUGAGUAACGCGUGAGAAUCUACCUUCAGGACGGAGAUAACCGCUGGAAACGGCGGCUAAUCCCCGAUGAGCCUACGGGUGAAAGCGUUAACGCCUGAAGAGGAGCUCGCGGCUGAUUAGCUAGUUGGUGGGGUAAGAGCCUACCAAGGCAACGAUCAGUAGCUGGUCUGAGAGGAUGGUCAGCCACACUGGGACUGAGACACGGCCCAGACUCCUACGGGAGGCAGCAGUGGGGAAUCUUCCGCAAUGGGCGCAAGCCUGACGGAGCUAUACCGCGUGAGGGAAGAAGGCUCUUGGGUCGUAAACCUCUUUUCUUGGGGAAGAAAGCUGACGGUACCCAAGGAAAAAGCCUCGGCCAACUCCGUGCCAGCAGCCGCGGUAAUACGGAGGAGGCAAGCGUUAUCCGGAAUUAUUGGGCGUAGAGCGUCCGCAGGUGGCCUCUCAAGUCUGCGGUGAAAGAGCGGGGCUUAACCCCGGAGGAGCCGUGGAAACUGAGAAGCUAGAGUGCGGUAGGGGUAGAGGGAAUUCCCAGUGUAGCGGUGAAAUGCGUAGAGAUUGGGAAGAACAUCGGUGGCGAAAGCGCUCUACUGGACCGCAACUGACACUCAGGGACGAAAGCUAGGGGAGCGAAAGGGAUUAGAUACCCCUGUAGUC